GACCAGUCACGGAAAUUAGGGACACAAGUCGGAUCUGGGGCAUUUUGAGUUAUUCAUAGAUUCUGAAAGUGCAGAUUCUAAGCUUUCCAACGAUGUGUAACACAUGGAAAUCUGAUAAGAUUUGGAGAAGUUGUGGCCAUUUGAAUGUAACACAUUCAAGAAAGAAAAUGCUGAGAAAUUUGAGAAAGAAAAAAGUUAACACUUUCCCUUUUCCCUGGCUGGAGAAACAAAAGGGCUCAUUUACAUCUCAUUUAGCUAAGCCAUACCCCCUGUAAAGCCGUUUUGAGAUACAGCUGUUCUAGCAGCAUAUGUAGUAUUUUAUUACAGAAGUCCGAAUGACAAAAUGCAAAAAUAAACAGGACUUUUAACGUUACCUUUGCGGGGAUCACAAGUCGAAUCCAGUCUGUUUCAGAUGUGUGAAUCAUCCAAUGAUUUUUGUCCACAAAUGCGUAUAAUCCGUGAAAUAUAGAUAUAUAGUCUAUUUCGCAUGAACUUCUGGUAAUACAAUAUAAUAUACAAUCCGAGGACUAUUUACAUCGUAACAUGUAAGGGUAUAUCAGAUUACACUCCGGUAUUUACGUUCCGUUAAACACAUGAACCCGCCUUCAAAGUUUGUAUUUAAAAUAGAUAAGUUAAUCCAAAAACAGCACCGUCGAAAACGUGAAGUCCUUAAGAGAUAUUACCAAUCGUUCCUCCAUCAGCCAAUGACUUCAUGGAAAAUAUUGAUAGACAAAACAUGUAGCCAAUUAUAUAAAGAAUACAACGAUCUCUGUGUAACUUCUGUGUGUUUGGACAAAUAACAGUCAGCCGCAUCACUGACUUUAUGGGGCGCCGCAGUCGGAUGACGUCAGAGUACCGCGAGAGCGAGUCGAAAUUAAACUACUCCGUAAGAUUUCUUAAAGAGCUCUCGCGGUACUUUGACGUCAUCCGACUGCGGCGCCCCAUAAAGUCAGUGACGCGCCUGACGUAUGCGGUUGACUGUUAUUUGUUCCGCCCCAGCUUCUUUUAUAUUUCUUUUGUUUUGUGCGCCCGAGCUUCAUUUACAGUCUGGGGAGACGCACGCUAUAAGUUUGAAAAAAAUAAAAAAUAAAACUCAGCAAACAUGUCUUAAGGGACAGAGCAGCCACGUCACUACAGUCACGUGACUUCACGCUCGAGCCGGAAGAGAAGACAAUAGGUGUGUUCGAGAUCAUCUGGCGCUGCGCAGACCGAUCGGCGAGGUUUGCCGCUUGCAGUCGAGGGAGGAACUGAAGACGGAGCCGUCAAGCCGGACACCUGCUGCUUGCCGUAGUGACGUGUGCGCCGUGUUUCCUUGUUUGUAAUCGCAAAUGAAGUGACUUAGAUGCUGAAUUUGAUAAAAACAAACCUUUUAAUAAAAAGUUGCAACCAGAAACAUUU